UACGUAGGGGCCGAGCGUUGUCCGGAGUUACUGGGCGUAAAGCGCGCGCAGGCGGCUCGUCAAGCCUGACGUGAAAGCCCCCGGCUCAACCGGGGAGGGUCGUCGGGGACUGGCGAGCUUGAGGUCGGCAGGGGUUGGUGGAAUUCCCGGUGUAGUGGUGAAAUGCGUAGAGAUCGGGAGGAACACCCGUGGCGAAGGCGGCCAACUGGGCCGAACCUGACGCUGAGGCGCGAAGGCGUGGGGAGCGAACGGG
rnacentral:rRNA from 1 species